GAUUCACUUUGUUAUAAAGCAGAAACUAACACACCAUUGUAAAGCAAUUAUACUCCCAUAAAAAUGUUAAAAAAAAAAAAAAAACAAAACUUCAUGUCUAGAGGAAAAGUGGACAUGCAAAAAGAUCAAUUAAAGAAAAAUAUGCAUGUACUUUAGUAAAAAAAAAAAAAAAAGAAAGAAAGAAAAUGGAUGCCAAAUUGAAUCUGCUGAAAAGAAACUGAAAUUUCUUUUUUAAGUAAUUGAAUGUCUUCAGUGAGCUAAAAGACAGUAGGAUUAUGUCAUUGAGUGUAUUCCUUUGCUCCUUUUCUCUGCAGCUGCCACAUUUAAAGCCUUAUAAGGAAAAACAUAUCCAAAUAAUUAAGAAAGAAAUGCAAAAACAUUCACUCUGUUUACUAAGGAUACCUGGUUUGUUUGGGGGCAAAGAGGAGUUGAUGUGGCAUUGUGUUAACAGUGGUUGAGAAUGCAAGUGGUAAACAUCUGAAAGUAGAAUACUACAAAAUGCAUGCAUUGUAUGUACCAAAAGAGGCCACAGGAAGCUUCACUGGACCUAGGGAUGGCAGGUGUCCCACACUUCUCCAGGGCCUGGCACAGAGAAGAGAGAAGUCACUGAGAAGUGCUUUACUGAUGCGAAUCACUCCUCAGAGCAGAUGGGGAAACUGAGCCUCAGAUGAAACCUGAAUUCCAGAUCUCUCUUGGACACUGACCUCAAGUGUUACCUUGGGCCUCGGAAAAGUCACUUGGACCCUUUGGACAGCAGUUUAUUCAUCUAACAAUCAAUAAGUUGAAGUAGAAGAUCGCUAAGUCACUUUUAUUUCUAAAAUUCUGUGAUUCCAGUUAACCAAUAUUCAUAAAAGUGUGGAACGCUGUAAACGUGCAUAAAAGUCCAUGCAGAGAUAACGGUGGAGGACCCCCUCAUCAAUACUAUUUUUAUUACCUUCUUCUUAGAUUUUACCAAUUGUCAUUCUUACUCUUAAUAGUAAGGCUGUGGGACUUAACUAAAUCAUCUUUGAAAUACUGAGCUAUCAACAGAUGGCAUGCUGAAUGCAAAUAUACUGCAAAUAAAUAUUUGGUCCUGAAGAAGAUCAAGAGCUGGAGUUCAUUUCCCCUUCUCAUUUGGGCUCAGAACUCUGCGGUCUUUCCUUUUACUGCCCUUGCCUCCAAACUGGCUGUUUGUGUUCAAAGAUGGAUCAGAAAAUCAGUUCCAAAGUUGGUUACAAACUUUCAGUAAUUUUUGUUUUUUAUUUUUUGUAACCAGCCAAUUUCUCUUAGUUCACAUAACAAAGAAGCUCAUAAUUAUUUGCAACUUUAGUUAGAGCAAUGGUCUUAAAAAUGUCUAGCUAAAUAGAAAAUGCUCAGACUUUCUGAGUGCCGACAGUUAUCAAAUUCACCUAGUUCAUAUAUGGCCACAUUUCUGAAGUUCUUUUAACAGCCCAACUGUGAGCAAUAGGAUCAGAUGACUAAGAACUACAGGACGGAAGCACUAUUACUUUGAAUCAUAUUUUCCCAUUACCCAGCUAUAAAGAGUCUGUUUCUCUCUGACCCAUAUAAAGUUCAGAAUUUAGGACCCUAUGUGAUUUUAAUCCCAUCAUUUAGCACCCCAGCUGUAUGAAUCUGAAAGUAAAAAUGAAGUUGUUUGAAUUCCAGACCCCCUGAACAUUCUCAGGGAGCUCAUCAGCUCCCUAAGCUAAGCUAUAGGUUUAAAUCUAAACCUAAAUCUGUAGGUAUGAACCCAAAUUUCAUGAUAAACAAAAACUGAAUAGAUCUGUCUUCCCUGUCAUUACUCACCUUUUGAUCAUUCUUUUACCAAAACUACUAUGACUGGGUUAGAAUAAUAGAAUGCAAUCAAUAAAUGCAAUCACUAGCCCCUGGCCAGAUAAUAACACAUUCAGAACUUUCUUUCCUAAAGGAGAUUUUAUCGUGUUUGUGCUCUUGUAAAUAGGAGAAAGAGAAAUAUAACUUAAUAAAUGAAAGCAUUCACUAAUUUAUUCAACAAAUAUUAAUUUAGUAUCUACUAGAUUCCAGGGAGUUUACAGUCUAGUAGCAGAAAUAAUCUCACACACAUACAAAAUCAAACCAUUAAAUAAGUUUGGGGUAGGCGGGAUGAAAAAAAUGGUCUGGUCUAAAUUCAAGAGGUUAGUGAUUUGGGGAGGGGCAAGAAAGUGACUUCCUCUAUUACCCUAAAAGUAAGCUUGAGCAGCCAGAGGCCAUGUCUAUUUUAUUGGCACUGUCCCCUUUUCAGUGACACCCAUAGCCAGCUCAUAGACCCUAUCCUGGCUCUGUUUGCUUGGUUCAUUUAUUCCAUCCUCAAAAAGUAGGUAUUUCAUAACUACUGAAUGAAGGAAUGAAUGAACUCACAAGGCCACAGUACUGUAAACCAAAAGUGCCUGCAAUAAAUAUGCAUGCAUUGUAGGCUAUAAAUGUUUCUGAAGUUCAGGUACUGUCUCAGCAAAUUGUAUUCUGAUUUUCUAGAGCACCAGUUUGCAACCAGGGAUUAUUUUUUGCUCCCCCUCCCAGGGGACACUUGGCAAUGUCUGGAGACAUUUUUAGUUGUCAAAAUUUAGGAGGUGCUACUGGCAUCUGGUGGGUAGACGACAGAGAUGUUGAGAAUCACCCUACAGUUCCCAGGACAGCACCCUCACCCUAACAACAAGGAAUUAUCUGGCCCAAAAUGCCAACAAGUGCCCAGAUGGAGUAACCCUGUGGUAGAGCUUGGGAGCUAUGUCUUGGGAGCCACAUGAUGGGCUGUGAUUAUCCUUGCUUAGACCUUACAAGGACCCUAGUGUAAAUCCUUUUCCUCACUAGCCAAGCAAUGUUCAAACCUACAGAGAUUUAUUUCAUUAAUUUUCUAUUUGUUUAAUAAACAGACUUAAAGCACUGGAGGGAAAAAUAUUCAAGCAGUGAGGUAAGACGAAAACUAUUAGUAACACUAGGUUGACUUAAGUGAAUGGUAGGAAACAACCUCUGCCAUCAGGAAGUGAGUUGUAGAAACUGAAAAAAAGUUAAGAGUGUUUAAAAAGCUCUGGUUCAAACAAAUGUCUAUGUGAACCAAUGGGUAGCUUGAAAACAGUGAAGACAUUUCCGUCUCUUAUGUCUUUGAUGGAAUGGAAAGAGCUUUUAUUUUCUUUAGUGCAGUGAUCAUUCAUAUUUUUCCCAUGACAUGCCCAGAAGUUUAAAGAAUAACAAACCCCCAAGUGUAAACAGAAUUUUGUGAGAAAGUGAGCCCUCUGGAUGAAUCCUUAUCAUUGUAUGUUUGGAUAAAAUAAGAUUUCCAUGCAUUAAACAAUACAGGACUUUCUAUUUGAGAAGUAAGCUUCCAACACUUUGAAGGGCUGCAGUUAUUUCUCUUCAGGGAUGACAAACAUAAGCGCCCCCAAGGUAUGGCUCCUCCCUGUUCAAGUUCAAUGCUCUAGUCUCAGUGCUCCUAUCACUGGCCCUUGCUUGGCCU